UCACCACAAGCUCAAAUACUACAGGAUAUCCUAAUGUGAUUUUAUGGGAGUAAAGAUGAAAACGAACACAGCUGUAAAACUGCUCACAGUUGAAAGCCAUUACAUUUCCAACAAGUCAUUAACACCCCGCUCCCAGGAAUUAGCUUUGUGGGUGGUUACUGGGUGAACAUUAGUUACAACUCCCAGUUCAUAGUUUGACUUCACUGCCAUGGAAGCCGACAUCAAAGGAAAGAAGAUAAGCAAAUCAUAUUGUGAAGUUGGCACUUGACUACUGUGUAUACUCAGCUGGAGCUGCUGCCGGAUGCACAUUCAUGGCACAUCACUCUGCUAAGGGCUUUGUUUUGCCCCCUUCUCUGACAAGCAACAUCUCCCGACAGUAAAAACAUCACAUUUGUUAUUGACUUGCAUGUUACACAAUAUGGAAGGCGACAAAAGGCGUAUAUUUAUAAAUGGAAAAGCAAAAUGUGUUGCGUUGCCAUGUGGCUCCCCGUUGUGAUGAAUAGCAUGUCGACAAGAUGAAACCUGAGACAACAAGGAAAAACUGAAACACAUUUGAUUACAACUAUUCAUAAAUACACACCCCGACUGCUCCACUGGAAUCUGCAUGAGCGGAAAGGUUUAACAUGAUGGAUGUGAGAUUUUUAUUUCAAGCUCAACAAUUAUGAUCCUUUGUUGUUCUUCUAUGGAAAAACAACUGUGUGAUAUGUGAGUAAAAUCACCAAACCUCAAUAAAUGAUGCGCGAUUUGUUUUUUUCUGUGA